ACAUGCAGAGAACUUUCCAGAGAUGGAUUGGUGCCUUCGGGAACUCUGACACAGGUGCUGCAUGGCUGUCGUCAGCUCGUGUCGUGAGAUGUUGGGUUAAGUCCGUAACGAGCGCAACCCUUGUCCUUAGUUACCAGCACGUUAUGGUGGGCACUCUAAGGAGACUGCCGGUGACAAACCGGAGGAAGGUAGGGAUGACGUCAAGUCAUCAUGGCCCUUACGGCCUGGGCUACACACGUGCUACAAUGGUCGGUACAAAGGGUUGCCAAGCCGCGAGGUGGAGCUAAUCCCAUAAAACCGAUCGUAGUCCGGAUCGCAGUCUGCAACUCGACUGCGUGAAGUCGGAAUCGCUAGUAAUCGUGAAUCAGAAUGUCACGGUGAAUACGUUCCCGGGCCUU
rnacentral:rRNA from 1 species